GGAUAAUCCCAGGCGACUGGGGAAAAGCCAGGCCAGGCUGAUUGGUCCGGCUCCUGUGAAACCGGGUUUUAAUCCGGCGGAAAGGCAGAAUUCACCGGUUGUUCGGGCGAUGUUCGCGCAUCGCCGAAUGCGAAUGAGCAACCAGGCGGUCAGGGACGAUGAGAAACCGUUCCGAACCGAGUCAACUAGUUCAGGCAGGUUUCGAGCCUGGAUGAAUCGCAGUCACCCCCAGGGUGGACAGUUGCUACUGCGAAUCAGCACGGUGCGAACGACUCUGGCGGAAACCCUUCGGGGCGCCGCCCAAAGAAAAACGCCGAAAGGCGGACAAAAGGAGCGAACGCAUCGGGAAGACCACUGAAACUGGGCAGGUUUCGUGAAAAACUUCCGGAGGCCGGCGAUGUUAAAAACGACACCGCUGGACUGUGAUGAAAAGGCAGCUUGAAAGUGAAGAGGCGAGACCCGUGGCUUCGGCGAACGCACUGUCAAAAGCAGUGGCUGACCGCAGGCCAAGUGGUUAAGACGCGAUGAUAAUCGCAGGCGUGUCUUGACCUGGUCCGUAAGCUGGUGGCGCAACCAUCAGCCGAAGCGGGCUGAAAAGCCUCACUUGAAAUUCAGCCGUCGCAAGAUGCUGAACGGCCCUGCUACGAGGCCGAGAACUCCGCUUGCCGUGGAGAAUAGCGUCGGGAAACCGGCAGCCCCGCAAGGGCGCGCCAAAUGUCGGCCCGGGAAAGAGAGUGUGGCGAGCUCC
rnacentral:ncRNA from 1 species